UACGUAGGGUGCAAGCGUUAAUCGGAAUUACUGGGCGUAAAGCGUGCGCAGGCGGCUUUGCAAGACAGAUGUGAAAUCCCCGGGCUUAACCUGGGAACUGCAUUUGUGACUGCACGGCUGGAGUGCGGCAGAGGGAGAUGGAAUUCCGCGUGUAGCAGUGAAAUGCGUAGAUAUGCGGAGGAACACCGAUGGCGAAGGCAACCCCCUGGGCCUGCACUGACGCUCAUGCGCGAAAGCGUGGGGAGCAAACAGG
rnacentral:rRNA from 1 species